ACAUUAUCAAAGGAUAGACGGAGACCACUUAAGUUAUAUCAAAGUUUUGUUUACUUGCAAGUAGGGUCAGUUUACAGCACUCACAGCAUACGUACAGAAAGUGACUGAUGUUUUCUACAACAGCUUUUGUAAUACAACAUAGAAUGUGAUAACACUCUAUAGUCAUAAUAAAGAGUCGAUGUUGUCAGUUAUCUCAGUCAAGGAGCGCCUGUUCUUUCCUCAGCAUCACACUGUGCUCCAGAUAAGGACAGACAGUGGCUCCAGAUACCAGAUGGCAACAGCAGCAACAGUGUUUUGUUUUGUUAUAAUGCAAACAGUUUUAAUACUAAUCAGAGAAAAAGGAUGUAUCAUAUUUUUUCUGACACUACAUCCUUACUUUUAAUACU